UUGCAGAAAGGGAGGAAACUUUACUGUUAGUGCCCCAAGCUUCAUACCUGCCCCAGCACUGUAGUUUCUGGUUAUCGAGAGGCCUGGAAGAUAAGAGGAAAUGCAGAGCUCUAUGAAGCCACCACCCUCCCUGUGAGGGGAGCCACCUGAAGCCCGGAGGAAUGAGGACAUUCGCCCAAGCAAACACAGCAGUUUGGUGGCAAAGCCAGGCUUCACACCCAGGUCUUCAGUGGCCAGUCCCUCUCCCUCUGCCGGCAGCCACUCUAGUGUCUCCCUUGAGAGAAGAGGCAGCUGAUGGAAGGUUGGCCUCUGUGAUGAGGGAGGGCUGGAAGCUCCUGGUGUGUGGCCACCACUGAGCUUUGUCGUGUUCCACCUUCACCAUCUGGGAAGGGCAACUCUGAGGUCAGUGAAUUCCAGGAGAAGCUAGAAAGAGAGGGUUGGUUGGGAGUAGUUGGAUGCUCUGGACAUUGCUGUUUCCUUGCUCAGUGGGAGCAGGGGUCCCCCAAAGGUGGCUGCACCCCUCUCGGCCUCAACCCUUUGUGCCCAUCUGCCAUGCCUCCCUAGCCCUGGGCUGACCUGACAAGGGCAGGUGCUCCUGGGGACCCCAUCUUCAUCUCUCUGGCAGCUCUCUGGAGCAGACCUCAGGGGCAGUAGCCCUGUGUUAAUGAUUGGGGUGGCUCGGCAGCAUGGAUCCGUUCAUGGACACUGGAGGGGCUGAGGUGACAGCUGAGUAGCCCUGUGGAGGCCUAAUAGAGAAGUAAAGCAAAAGAGGAUGUGGUACUGGCUUGCCUGCCAGCUGACAUCUGAGAGGCACUGAUGCUACACUCUGGUUCACAAAGAACCAUGGGACCUUCUCUGCAGUGGGAGGCUUGGGGGGAGGGGAAGAACCACUGAACAGAAUUACAAGGCAGAGGGUGGCCGAACUAGCUGAUUUGGACCAUUGAUCUUGGGAGCAAGACCACUGACCGGCUAAGGAUUUCCUGUGUCCAUAAGCAUCAUGUAACCAUGCGGGGUAUGGACCAUGGGUGGAUAAGGAUGCCUGCAGCGUACGUGGAUAGGUCCAGGCAGCAGGACUCUGACUUCAGAUAUGUGCUCGUGAGAGCUGCUGGGCCAAGACCUCGCCGCUCCGCGGGCUGCAGCCCCAUCUGCCCUCCUUGGUGACAGCUGGGGGCAGAUCUGAGAAAGGACUCACUGCUUCGCCUCCACUCCCCGGGCUCGGGAUGUCCAGGACUCCGUGGGAGAAGGAGGCGGCGUCCUGCAGCACAUCACGUCUCGGUGCAGCUCUGCGGUUCCCCUACAGUGCCCAGCUCUAGCGGUGUGACCUUGGCUUGGCCAUGCCUCAGUUUCCUUGUGAGUCACACGGAGAUAAUGCAAGCUGAAUAUUGUGUCCACGGGGCUGUUACGAGACACGCAAAGCACGGACGAUGCCGCCCGGUGCUUCUGGAGGGCUCAGCAAAGGUUGGACACCUCUAGAAAAUGACCUCCAAAAACACAACUUUUAAUGACCAUGUAGCCUUCUAAUGUGUAGGUAGAUUAUAAUUUGUUGAGCCAGCCCCUUGUUGUUGGGCGUGUAGGCUGCUUCCACUCUUCCGCUUUUAUAAAUAAUGCUGCAGUGAACAUCUCGUACAUCAAUCUUUCUGUUUAUCUCUGAUUGCUUCCUUAGAAGGACUCCCCAAAUCGUGCUCGUCUUAGAACAAAGCCCCGUCCCCUAGGCUUUUCAAUGAUGCCCCUGGAAAUAAAAGCAGAGCCCAUUUUCCACCAGGGAAAGAAACAUAUGGAACGUGUUAACCAAGAGGUGGUUCAGGAGGAAAGUAGAAAUAGGUUCAAGAUGGGUUUGGAUCCCCUUCAGGAUGUCUGACACGGAAUCAGUCAUACAGCUCCCCUCGAGCCGCCUCCCCGGAGAGAGGGAGGCAGAGGCUGAUUCUCAGGGGCCACUGACUUCUCUCUUUGAGGGAAUUCCAAAGGGCUUUGAAGUUCUUGGUGUUGGAGAAGCACCGAUGACAGAUCAAUCAAGGAAGCCAGUGUGUGUGGACGACUCCUCCAGCCAGGAGGGGGCAAUGUCGCCUGCCUCUGCCAUCCAGAAUCGCUUUGGGUUGCCAUUUAUUCAUCCAUUCAUUUGGGAGAAAUCUAUUGCGUGCUUCCCCCCAGGCCAGACGUCAAGACUGUUUUCAGACUUUCGAAGACCUAGACACCCUUGCUCUGGAAGCUCCAACUCACACAGAUCAAGCAUAUUGCAAUUCACCCAGAUUCCAUAUUAAGUGUAUUUUUUUUUCCUGUAAAGAAAAAUAAAGAUUAUUUUUAUAACUUUGCUUUUGGAAUUAUUUGGCGACGAGCAAUUCAUUCGAUCUAUGCCUGGCUUUGAUUUGUCAGCAGUUAAUGGCGGUACUCAAAGAAUUCUUGCAAAGUGAGAAAAUCUAACCUGCACAUCGUUUUCAGAUAUAAUGAAAUUUUUAUGAAUUUUUAUGAAUGCUAAAUGAAACCAUUAAUGGCGGUUGAUGUAAUAUU